UGAGGAAUAUUGAGCAAUGGGCGCAAGCCUGACUCAGCAACGCCGCGUGGAUGAUGAAGGCCUUCGGGUUGUAAAAUCCUUUUCUGAGGGACGAUAAUGACGGUACCUCAGGAAUAAGUUCCGGCUAACUACGUGCCAGCAGCCGCGGUAAAACGUAGGGGACAAGCGUUAUCCGGAUUUACUGGGCGUAAAGCGCAUGUAGGUGGCUUGAAAAGUUGGAUGUGAAAGCUCCUGGCUUAACUGGGAGAGGUCAUUCAAAACUAGCAAGCUUGAGGAUGGAAGAGGAGAGCAGAAUUCCCGGUGUAGUGGUGGAAUGCGUAGAUAUCGGGAGGAAUACCAGUGGCGAAAGCGGCUCUCUGGUUCGUGCCUGACACUGAGAUGCGAAAGCGUGGGGAGCGAACGGG
rnacentral:rRNA from 1 species